rnacentral:lncRNA from 1 species
AGAUGAGACCUUAGCCUCACUAUUAUCUCUACGCGAUGUGUUCAAUGUUAACCGGAAUAGCUUGGUAAUCCGAGACAGAGGUCUGGCUCCUUUGGUAGGGUCGUUGUAGAUUUUCACGCUCCUCCAGCCACUUUUAGUAGAUGUCUAUACGCAAACAUAUUAUGCUUCCGCUUGACACUUGUAUGACUUGAGUGUUGGGUCAUGUGACCCCUAUUUGUAAU